AGCCUAACCCGACUCGUCGGCACGGUUGUCUAAAUCCAUGUAAAGAAACAGCUCGUCAUAGGGUAUUUCUUUACAUGGUCAUAUCGGGAAACUGAUAUGGGGGCUUCGGCUCC
rnacentral:sRNA from 1 species